ensembl:lncRNA
ACUGCUGCUCCCAGCAACAGGAUGGAGGAACAGCUUCAGGGUUGGUUCCGUAGCGCCUUAGAAGAGUAAGCUGCUGCAGGACGAAAAAGAGGUACUUGAAGUGGAGAUCAAACCUGGUUGGUAAUGCAGAGCCUCAGGCCAUCCCUGGCUGGACUGAGGUGCUACAAGCAUAGCUGUAAACCUACCCAGAGGUUUUUCACAUCACUGCUUUCUCUGUGGAGCCAGUACAGCACAGGCCAUGUCUAGACAUCCAAUGUAACUGUUGUGCAAGUUCUCAGCCUGACUGUGCUGCAGCUGCUCUCUCUGGGGGAUGACGUGUUCACAAAGCAGCAUGUACAUUCAUGCCAGUGAACGUCCUGGGAAGCUGAAGUGGAGUGACACCCGCCCACCUAUUUUCUGGACUCACAAACCAGACAGAUAGGUCACUCUGGAGUGGCUCACUUCAGAGUCAUAAGAGAGCAGUGGGACUGCUAGAAGACCAGCUCUUGUUACAAGUAGAGGUCAGUAUCCACGCUACACGAGGAAUGCUAUGCUCAUCCUUGGAAAGCUCCAGGAGAGCCUCACAUCCUCAGGAGCUGCAGUGUGAAGUUGCAGAGCUGCAUUGCUCUGAUACUGUUUCAGCUGGUAGGGAAGUGAAAGAAGGGCUCCUAGUGAACAGUGCCAGACAUAUAGCCCUCAGCUUGAGUCUCUGUUUGCAAUCAUCUGUAGUUUUAAAAUACUUCUUUGCUCUGGGUUUAACUGCAGUUGAUGCUCCCAAGAGAGGGGUUGUGGCCAGCCUGUUAUUUACCUUUGAUAUGAAAGCUUUACAGUUGCCUAUCCUCAACCAGCCAGCAGCAUCAGGAUGUCUGUAACAGUGCAACUGCAUCAAAGCAAUAAAACCGCCUCUCUGAGUGUCCCACAGUCACGCUUAUGGGCUCAAGUUGGGUCCUCUGGUUUCUUCAGGAUGAUAGAAGAGUGGGAAUCCACCCUGUCUCUCCCCUGCUAUGCAUUUUUUGGUGCAAUCUGCAGGCUUGCUCCUGUGGCUGCUGCAUGACACCUGCAGGUGGGCUGCACUCCAGAACUGUGACCCUCCCUUCAGAGGAAGCUGGCUGCUGGAACGGUUGCUCCCUUGAUGCUUUACCGCCAUGCUCUGAUUUCAGCAGUGCCAAACACACUGAUACACGCAGAAUUAAGUGACUGCUUUUAGUCAGACUGCAGCAGCUCACCCAGUGUAAUGUAUUCACAAUUACACUGUGGCCUAUUGCAAGCUUGAAAGAGGCAUUAGCUUUGCUGCACAUCUUUUUACUGCUCUAGCAGUGCUCUUGCCUGCUCCUGAGAGCAAGGGGCAGUCCUGCUGUAUGUAUUUUUUCACUGUCUGUAUUGACUCACAGUUACUUUUCAAUGCUUUUUAAUACAAGUAAAACAUAACUCUUGG